rnacentral:rRNA from 1 species
GAAAGAUGGUUCUGCUAUCACUCUUGGAUGGACCUGCGGUGCAUUAGCUAGUUGGUAAGGUAACGGCUUACCAAGGCAAUGAUGCAUAGCCGAGUUGAGAGACUGAUCGGCCACAUUGGGACUGAGACACGGCCCAAACUCCUACGGGAGGCAGCAGUAGGGAAUCUUCCACAAUGGACGAAAGUCUGAUGGAGCAACGCCGCGUGAGUGAAGAAGGGUUUCGGCUCGUAAAGCUCUGUUGGUAGUGAAGAAAGAUAGAGGUAGUAACUGGCCUUUAUUGACGGUAAUUACUUAGAAAGUCACGGCUAACUACGUGCCAGCAGCCGCGGUAAUACGUAGGUGGCAAGCGUUGUCCGGAUUUAUUGGGCGUGAAGCGAGUGCAGGCGGUUCAAUAAGUCUGAUGUGAAAGCCUUCGGCUCAACCGGAGAAUUGCAUCAGAAACUGUUGAACUUGAGUGCAGAAGAGGAGAGUGGAACUCCAUGUGUAGCGGUGGAAUGCGUAGAUAUAUGGAAGAACACCAGUGGCGAAGGCGGCUCUCCGGUCUGCAACUGACGCUGAGGCUCGAAAGCAUGGGUAGCGAACAGGAUUAGAUACCCUGGUAGUCCAUGCCGUAAACGAUGAGUGCUAAGUGUUGGGAGGUUUCCGCCUCUCA